rnacentral:rRNA from 1 species
GCAUAUCAAUAAGCGGAGGAAAAGAAACUAACCAGGAUUCCCUUAGUAACGGCGAGUGAAGUGGGAAUGGCUCAAAUUUUAAAUCAGAUCGGGAAACCGAUUCGAAUUGUAAUCUAAAGAAGCGUUUUCAGCGUCCUCUCGGGUAUAGGUCCCUUGGAAUAGGGCAUCAUAGAGGGUGAGAAUCCCGUUUGUGACACGAGUUCGGAUGCGAUACGUUACGCUUUCGACGAGUCGAGUUGUUUGGGAUUGCAGCUCAAAAUGGGGGGUAAAUUCCAUCUAAGGCUAAAUAAUUGCAAGAGACCGAUAGCGAACAAGUACCGUGAGGGAAAGAUGAAAAGAACUUUGAAAAGAGAGUCAAACAGUACGUGAAAUUGUUGAAAGGGAAACGAUUGAAGCCAGUCAUGCCGGUGGGAAAUCAGCUUCCGGGGAAACCUGGUUGUGCACUUUCUCGCAAGGCAGGUUAGCGUCAGUUUCGCCAGUCGUAAAAAGUCCGUCGGAAUGUGACUCCAUUCGGAGUGUUAUAGCCAGCGGUCAAUGCGACGUGCGGGAUUGAGGAUUGCAGCGAGGGCCUUUCUAGGCUAAGUGCCUGGCCCUUGUUCGUGGUCGUCUUGGUAGCAGCGUGCUGAUGCCGAGCCCGAUUCUAGGACACGGGGUCUAGCGUCACGGUAAAUUCGUUAAGGAUGUUGACGUA